AAUGUGCACAAUGAAUUAUUCAUUUUAAAAACUCCUUUACUUUUGAUUGUAAACUUAAGCCAAUUUUGAAACACUGUGUGUCUUUACACAGAUCUUACUUUUUAUUUUCCCCCUCUGCACUGGGGAAUACUGAUGGGAGCACAUGCAUACGACACAUCUACAGGGAGAGAUGAUGGCAGCCAUAGCGACUGUGAUGGGAAGGCCUCCUCUUUCUGUGCCAGGCACCUGUGAAGAUCCCCACCAGGUGCUGACACACGUGCCAUCAGGAUCCCCACUGAUGAUGUCACUUCCAGCAGUAUGACAUCACUGCUGGCAAAUCUAUUGACAGUUCUGAUGAAAUUUCAGCACAAUCAAUAAACAGAUGCAAACUCCCCAA